UUAGUAUAUUUAUUUUGUAUAAAAUGUUUCUUUUUGUUAAUUUAUUAUAAGGAACUAGGCAAAUUUGAUUUCCGCCUGUUUAUCAAAAACAUGUCCUCUUGAUAAUAUUUUGAGGUCUGGCCUGCUCACUGACUAGGUUUUAAAGAGCCGCGGUAUUUUGACCGUGCAAAGGUAGCAUAAUCAUUAGUCUCUUAAUUAGGGGCUGGAAUGAAUGGCUUGACGAGAAAUCAACUGUCUCUUGAUAAAUUUUAUAAUUUAACUUUUGAGUUAAAAGGCUUAAAUUUUUCUUUAGGACGAGAAGACCCUAUAGAGCUUGACAUUUUAUUUAUAUAUAGUUUUUGGUUAAUCUUUUUGUAUAUAAUAUUAAUGUUUUGUUGGGGUGACAUGAAGAAUAAAUAAACUCUUCAUUAUUAGUUCAUUGAUUUAUGUUUAUUUUGAUCCAUAAUUUAUGAUCAUAAGAUUAAGUUACCUUAGGGAUAACAGCGUAAUUGUUUUCGAGAGCUCAUAUCGACAAAGCAGAUUGCGACCUCGAUGUUGGAUUAAGAAAAAUUUUGGGUGCAGUAGUCCAAAAAUUAGGUCUGUUCGACCUUUAAAUUCUUACAUGAUCUGAGUUCAGACCGGCGUGAGCCAGGUCGGUUUCUAUCCUAAGUUUUAUGAAGAUCAUAUUAGUACGAAAGGACCAUAUGAUCUAAAUAUUUUAUUUUUAUUGAUUAAAAUUAAUCUUUG
rnacentral:rRNA from 1 species